rnacentral:rRNA from 1 species
AGUACGGCGAGUGAAGCGGCAAAAGCUCAAAUUUGAAAUCUGGUACCUUCGGUGCCCGAGUUGUAAUUUGGAGAGGGCAACUUUGGGGCCGUUCCUUGUCUAUGUUCCUUGGAACAGGACGUCAUAGAGGGUGAGAAUCCCGUGUGGCGAGGAGUGCGGUUCUUUGUAAAGUGCCUUCGAAGAGUCGAGUUGUUUGGGAAUGCAGCUCUAAGUGGGUGGUAAAUUCCAUCUAAAGCUAAAUAUUGGCGAGAGACCGAUAGCGAACAAGUACAGUGAUGGAAAGAUGAAAAGAACUUUGAAAAGAGAGUGAAAAAGUACGUGAAAUUGUUGAAAGGGAAGGGCAUUUGAUCAGACAUGGUGUUUUGUGCCCUCUGCUCCUUGUGGGUAGGGGAAUCUCGCAUUUCACUGGGCCAGCAUCAGUUUUGGUGGCAGGAUAAAUCCAUAGGAAUGUAGCUUGCCUCGGUAAGUAUUAUAGCCUGUGGGAAUACUGCCAGCUGGGACUGAGGACUGCGACGUAAGUCAAGGAUGCUGGCAUAAUGGUUAUAUGCCGCCCGUCUUGAAACGGAC